rnacentral:lncRNA from 1 species
CCAGCCGGAGUAGCACUACCCUGGAGUCCACCCGGCUGUGAAGCGGUGGUGCUCUUAGGGGUGCUUGACGCCCUCAUUGUUAGAAACUGAUGGGUACUGUUGGCCGAUUCCUAGACCCGCUUUUGACCUACGUGAUAAAUGUGUUUCCGGAACUCUGCCAAAAAGUGUUCUGGAGGUUUUUGUUUGUUUCGGAGCCAAGGCCUCCCUCGUAGCUCUUAAUGGCCUGAAACACUCUUUGUAGCCUAGACUGGCAUUGAAGUCAAGUUAGCCCUGCCUUUGCCUCCCUGGGCUCUGGGAUUACCCUGCCUUUCUUGAUUAUUUCUAUUUGAACAAAUAUGAACAAACUAUGUGGCCACCACAUCUGGUCUCUGGAUUAUUUUAUUUUUUUGUUUGUGUGUGCCGUGUAUGUGUGCCUGUUUUGAGAGCAUAGGAGGCAGACAUCCAGUGACCUGCCUGACCGCAUUCCACCCCGUUCCCUUCAGACAGAGUCUCUCAUUGUCUUACUUUUCUACUGCUGUGCAAUACCAUGUUCAAGGCAACUUAUAAAGGACAGAUUUUAAACUUGUGUGUUGCAGAAGGUGAGUUCCUAAUCACCAUAGAUGGGGGCAUAGCAAACAGGGAGCCAGCCAGGCCUGCCUGCCUCAAGAUGUAGCUGAGAGUUUAUAUCCUCAUCUAUAAGUAGGAGGCAGAGAGACACACAGGAAACCUCACAGCCCAGUGGAACACCUUCAACAAGGAGGUGGAAACUGAUUUUGUUUACUAGGCAAAUUGAAAAUGGGUCAGCCUACAAUCCUGUGGUCUAGAUGAAGACACUGGCACAUUGAUUGCGUUACUAGCAUUUGUUGUAGACCAGGAUGGUCUUAAGAAACGUAGGGUGCCUGCCUACAGAUGUGAUGUCACAGGACCUAAUAGCAGGAAAAGUUCCUGAGAGAAGACUUGGGAAGAAGCAGGAGAUGGCUCACUUGAGAAAGUCACUUGUCAUCAAGUCCAACAAGCUAGUUCUGUUAUGGAAGCCCACAUGAAGGGGAAAGAAAACUGACUAGAGUUGUCCUCUGAUCUCCCCUCAGACUGUGGCAUGCCCACACCCGUACACAUUCAUACACAAAGAAUUAAAUAAAUGUUAAAGAGGAAUUAAAAAGAAACAGG